rnacentral:rRNA from 1 species
UACGGAGGGUGCAAGCGUUAUCCGGAUUCACUGGGUUUAAAGGGUGCGUAGGCGGGCAGGUAAGUCCGUGGUGAAAUCUCUGAGCUUAACUCAGAAACUGCCAUGGAUACUAUUUGUCUUGAAUAUUGUGGAGGUCAGCGGAAUAUGUCAUGUAGCGGUGAAAUGCUUAGAGAUGACAUAGAACACCAAUUGCGAAGGCAGCUGGCUACGCAUAUAUUGACACUGAGGCUCGAAAGCGUGGGGAUCAAACAGG